UACGGAGGAUCCGAGCGUUAUCCGGAUUUAUUGGGUUUAAAGGGUGCGCAGGCGGGAGAUUAAGUCGGUGGUGAAAUUUUGCGGCUCAACCGUAACAGUGCCAUUGAUACUGGUUUUCUUGAGUGUAUAUGAAGUAGGCGGAAUUUGUGGUGUAGCGGUGAAAUGCAUAGAUAUCACAAGGAACUCCGAUUGCGAAGGCAGCUUACUAAACUACAACUGACGCUCAGGCACGAAGGCGUGGGGAGUCAAACAGGAUUAGAUACCCCGUACGUCCU
rnacentral:rRNA from 1 species